CAGUGCAAUAAUGAAAGGGC
rnacentral:miRNA from 2 species